rnacentral:rRNA from 1 species
CCCUUAGAUGUUCUGGGCUGCACGCGCGCUACACUGAUGCGGUCAACAAGUUUUUCCUAUGUCGAUAGACACGGGUAAUCUUUUGAACUCGCAUCGUGAUGGGGAUAGAUUAUUGUAAUUAUUAAUCUUCAACGAGGAAUUCCUAGUAGGUGCAAAUCAUCAGUUUGCAUCGAUUACGUCCCUGCCCUUUGUACACACCGCCCGUCGCUGCUACCGAUUGGUUGAUCUGGUGAAUUAUUCGGACUGCCGGCUGAAGGGGUUUCCUCAUCUGCCAGCGGAAAGUCUUGUUAACCCUAUCAACUAGAGGAAGCAGAAGUCGUAACA